GUAGGUGAACCUGCGGAGGGAUCAUUAACGAGUUAGGGUCUCACCGGCCCGAUCUCCCAACCCUUUGUCUACUUGACCAUCGUUGCUUCGGCGAGUCCGUCCUCACGGACCGCCGGAGGGUCUUUAUCAGCCCUCUGGCCCGCGCUCGUCGAUAGCCCAACCUUAAAAAUCUUAACUAAACGUGUCUUGAAUCUAAGUAUUAUUGUUAAAUAAAAACAAAACUUUCAACAACGGAUCUCUUGGUUCUGGC
rnacentral:misc_RNA from 1 species